UACGAAGGGGGCUAGCGUUGUUCGGAAUUACUGGGCGUAAAGCGCACGUAGGCGGUCCCGCCAGUCAGAAGUGAAAGCCCUGGGCUCAACCCGGGAACUGCUUUUGAAACUGUGGGGCUUGAAUCCUGGAGAGGGUAGUGGAAUUCCCAGUGUAGAGGUGAAAUUCGUAGAUAUUGGGAAGAACACCAGUGGCGAAGGCGACUACCUGGCCAGGCAUUGACGCUGAGGUGCGAAAGCGUGGGGAGCAAAC
rnacentral:rRNA from 1 species